UUUCGCAAUGCCCGAAAGGGUGACGAAGCGACGCCGCGUGUGGGAAGAAGGCCUUCGGGUUGUAAACCACUGUCGGGAGUUAGGAAAUGCAGGUGCGUUAAUAGCGCACUUGCUUGACUGAGGCUCCAGAGGAAGCCACGGCUAACUCUGUGCCAGCAGCCGCGGUAAUACAGAGGCGGCAAGCGUUGUUCGGAAUUAUUGGGCGUAAAGAGCACGUAGGCGGCCUUGCAAGUCAGUUGUGAAAGCCUUCCGCUUAACGGAAGAACGGCAUCUGAUACUACAGGGCUUGAGUACGGGAGGGGAGAGUGGAACUUCUGGUGGAGCGGUGAAAUGCGUAGAUAUCAGAAGGAACGCCGGCGGCGAAAGCGACUCUCUGGUCCGAAACUGACGCUGAGUGUGCGAAAGCUAGGGGAGCAAACGGGAUUAGAUACCCCGGUAGUCCUAGCCGUAAACGAUGGGCACUAAGUAGAGGGGUUUU
rnacentral:rRNA from 1 species